GAAUUUGUCUCCAGUGCAAAAGCUCUCAAUGUACAUAGAAACAACAAAGUGAUCAAUCAUUUAUCAUAAAUCCUAAGAUACAAACAAUUGAUCAAUCAUAAUAUGCCAACAGGAGAAUGUAGUAGAAAGAUGAGAGGUGAGAAAAGUGAGAAGAUGGGAAAAAAUGAGAAGAUGACAAGGAUAAUACCAAUAUAGGCUACUACAUGGAACAGAUGCCGUAGGAUUGGCACAGAUUCUUCCCUGGCAGGGAGUAGAAGGCCCAGGGAACUCAAAAAUUCUGAGGCGGAAGAGUAUGGAGAGACUAUUUGUCCAUAAACACAGCUGGAAGCUUUGGGCUGUUCAGGAUUGACUGAGAUUUUUCUGCCACCGAAUUGAGUGAUGGCCACUGUCUUCAUUAGCUUUAAGAAGACCAGAGAAGAAUUCCUAUGUGACAGUUUUCUCAAUGAUUUUAGACUGUUCAGGAACAGUCCAACAAAAGGCUAUUGCCUUGAUGUCCUACUUCUGGCUGACCUUAGCUGAUCUCAAAAGGCUACACAGACUCAGACCUUCUUAAUACUUGGACAGGAUGCAGACAAAUCUCAGGGAUGUAGGCUAGACUGAGAAGUUGAAAAAACAAGCUGGAAGAAGGCCUUGCCAAACUACUUACAUGUUGUUGCCAAGGAAACUAUAUGCAUGUGACUCUGAAGUCACUGGAAGUAAACUGGGAUUCAGAAGAGCCCUUACCUUUUACCUGCUUGUAAGCUGUCCAAAUGCAUCAGCUGAUUAAUGCAGGAAAUGGGAUGGUAGAAUUAACGUUGGGCAGAGAAUGUUUCCUUUAUAUUUCAACCAGUAUGAUGAAAUACAAUUGCUGUAAAGUUUACAAAAAACAAGAGGAUAUUGGUGAAAUUCUCAUGGAUGGAA